rnacentral:misc_RNA from 1 species
CACACACACACGCACACACACAUUGACUUAAAAUCUGUUGGAGACCUAAAUUUAAAAGCUUUUACAGUGUGCAUUGCAUACAGGUAAUAUCAUGAGAUCUAGCAACACUGAAUGAAAUCAGAAUAAAAAGUGCCAUAUUCUUAUGACAGCAAUAUUAAACUGAAAAACAGAAACAAAAUUUAACUUCAGGAAAAAAUAAAUAAGAAAGGAAAUAGCCACAUAGAACAGCAGAGAACAGUGAAAAUAAAAAUUCAUCUGAGAAAAAUUGUGUUUUUUGCCAGACAAACACAUGCUUCAUUGGUUUCUUUUGAGUUUACCGUAUUGUUUCAUAGGAGCAUUCUCAAAUGUAGUGACUAAUCCACAUUUUCUUGCUCUUUCAUAGUUAUUAACCAAUUCUCCGAUGCAAGCUUUAUAAUUUUUGUGCUGCUGUUUUUGCUUGUUAUACGAAUAUUAAAAUUUGAUAGUUUAAGCAUCAUGUAAGUUCUCUGAUAAUAACACAACUGCAUGCUGCUAAUCGCUGAGUUCUGCAAAUUGUUUUGUAAUGUAAAAGAGAAAUAUGACAAAAAAAAUAAAAUAAAAUGACCAACAGAUGUACACUAGUUGAUGGAGGACCGACCAAUGGCUGCAUGCGCUUCUUUCCAAUAGGGUACUGAUAUGGGUUUGGUGUUUGCAUAGUGAAUGCAGUAAACCACAGGAUGAAGCCAGAUAGAAGAUCAAGUAGAGAGUCCAGUGUGGACGCAAUAAUGGCUAAUGAACCACUUCUGAUGGAUGCAUAAACCUUAGCAGCAAAAAGAACCAUAUUAGCGAAAUUCGAUACUCUGAUAGCAAAGUUCUCACUCCUAGCCAAAUCCUCCUGCUCUUCCUUUGACAUUCCAGGAAUAAAGCCACGCUCUGCUAAGGCAUCCAUUUCAUUAAAACCCUCAAGCAUUUCCACCUGCUGCUGAUAGUAAUCAGCAACAUCAUCUUCUGGACCUAAAACACCAAGGCAAUCAUGGCGGCCAUGAGGCGGCUUUUUCUCUUUGUGCUCCGCAGAUAGGUGAUAUCCCUCGAAGUUUAACCGCCAUGACUGAUCACCAUUGCUGUUGAGGGGCAACAGUGAAAGCUCCUCAUCGUUCUCGUGGUUCACCGGCUCCACCAUUCUCGGGUCACUCACUAGACGCCCCCGGAUUCAAGAAGCUCUAUAGUGCAAGUGUGUUUUUAAUAUAAUAAAGUGUUCUUGGUGAAAAUAGGGGGCAGAGUCUAGAAAUUUAACAUCCAGAGAAGGGUAUUUUGGAGAUAUCAAUAUGCACGUCGUGGUUGGUAAGACGCUGGUGCAUUUUUC